GACCUGAGUUCAGACGAGACUACCCGCCGAACUUAAGCAUAUCAAUAAGCGGAGGAAAAGAAACUAACUAGGAUUCCCUUAGUAACGGCGAGUGAAACGGGAUAAGCCCAACUUGAAAAUCUGCAGGCCCUGUCUGCCGAAUUGUAGUCUAUAGAAGCAACCUCUGAGGCGCGCCUGGGUUAAGUUCCCUGGAAGGGGACGUCAGAGAGGGUGAGAACCCCGUCAUCUAUGGCUGCCGCCUCUUCACGAGAUGCUUUCGCAGAGUCGGGUUGGUUGAGAAUCCAGCCCUAAUUGGGAGGUACAUCCCUUCUAAGGCUAAAUACCGGUAAGAGACCGAUAGCGAACAAGUACCGCGAGGGAAAGAUGAAAAGGCCUUUGAAAAGAGAGUUAAAAAGUGCUUGAAAUUGUUGAGGGGGAAGUGUAUCAGAGGCGUGAGUGCUCCUAGGCUGUAUGUAGACUCUAACCGGUCUGCCCCUCAGUGCUAGGAGCUGGUCAGCAUGGAUUAGCCUAGUGGGACAAAAGCAGAGGUUGCUACUUUGCCGAUGCCACUUCGCUGAUCGAGGAUUAAGAGCGCUUUGCCUUCGGAGCUGCGUUCUCAUGAUGCUGGCAGAAGCACCUGAUACAGCCCGUCUGGAAACACGGACCAAGGAGUCUAACAUGUAUGCGAGUUGGUGGGUGGAAAACCCAUGAAGCGUAAGGAAACUAACUGGUGGGAUGGCCUGUGCCUGCACCAUCGACCGACCAUGAUCUUUUGUGAAAGGUUUGAGUACGAGCAUACCUG
rnacentral:rRNA from 1 species